GAUGAACGCUGGCGGCGUGCCUAAUACAUGCAAGUCGAGCGGUAAGGCCUCUUCGGAGGUACACGAGCGGCGGACGGCUGAGUAACGCGUAGGAACGUACCCCAAAGUGAGGGAUAAGCACCAGAAAUGGUGUCUAAUACCGCAUGUGGCCCACGGGCUAAAGCUUCGGCGCUUUGGGAACGGCCUGCGUAAGAUUAGCUAGUUGGUGAGGUAAUGGCUCACCAAGGCGACGAUCUUUAGCUGGUCUGAGAGGAUGAUCAGCCAGACUGGGACUGAGACACGGCCCAGACUCCUACGGGAGGCAGCAGUAGGGAAUUUUCACAAUGGGCGAAAGCCUGAUGGAGCAACGCCGCGUGCAGGAUGAAUGCCUUCGGGUUGUAAACUGCUUUUAUAUGCGACGAAUAUGGCGGUAGCAUAUGAAUAAGGAUCGGCUAACUCCGUGCCAGCAGCCGCGGUAA
rnacentral:rRNA from 1 species